rnacentral:rRNA from 1 species
AUUGAACGCUGGCGGAAUGCUUUACACAUGCAAGUCGAACGGCAGCACGGGGCAACCUGGUGGCGAGUGGCGAACGGGUGAGUAAUACAUCGGAACGUGCCCAAUCGUGGGGGAUAACGUAGCGAAAGUUACGCUAAUACCGCAUACGAUCUACGGAUGAAAGCGGGGGAUCGCAAGACCUCGCGCGAAUGGAGCGGCCGAUGUCAGAUUAGGUAGUUGGUGGGGUAAAGGCUCACCAAGCCAACGAUCUGUAGCUGGUCUGAGAGGACGACCAGCCACACUGGGACUGAGACACGGCCCAGACUCCUACGGGAGGCAGCAGUGGGGAAUUUUGGACAAUGGGCGCAAGCCUGAUCCAGCCAUGCCGCGUGCAGGAUGAAGGCCUUCGGGUUGUAACGUAGCUUUGUACGGUAACGAAAGAACUACUUUCUAAUAAAGAGGGUACCAUGACGGUACCGUAAGAAUAAGACACCGGCUAACUACGUAGCCAGCAGCCGCGGUAAACGUAC